UACGUAGGGUGCAAGCGUUGUCCGGAAUUAUUGGGCGUAAAGGGCUCGUAGGCGGCGUGUCGCGUCGGGAGUGAAAGCCCGGGGCUUAACCCCGGGUCUGCAUUCGAUACGGGCAGGCUAGAGUUCGGUAGGGGAGUCUGGAAUUCCUGGUGUAGCGGUGAAAUGCGCAGAUAUCAGGAGGAACACCGGUGGCGAAGGCGGGACUCUGGGCCGAUACUGACGCUGAGGAGCGAAAGCGUGGGGAGCGAACAGG
rnacentral:rRNA from 1 species